ensembl:snRNA U2 U2 spliceosomal RNA
AUUGCUUCUCGGCCUUUUGGCUAAGAUCAAGUGUAGUGUGUUAUUAUUAUGAAAAUAAUUAAGACCAGAAAAUGAUCUUGGGGAAAGCUAGGGUUCCCAGACUACCCUUUGAGAUUAAUUGCCGACCUGAAUUAAACUCACU